rnacentral:rRNA from 1 species
AUUGAACGCUGGCGGCAUGCCUUACACAUGCAAGUCGAACGGCAGCACGGGUGCUUGCACCUGGUGGCGAGUGGCGAACGGGUGAGUAAUACAUCGGAACAUGUCCUGUAGUGGGGGAUAGCCCGGCGAAAGCCGGAUUAAUACCGCAUACGAUCUACGGAUGAAAGCGGGGGACCUUCGGGCCUCGCGCUAUAGGGUUGGCCGAUGGCUGAUUAGCUAGUUGGUGGGGUAAAGGCCUACCAAGGCGACGAUCAGUAGCUGGUAUGAGAGGACGACCAGCCACACUGGGACUGAGACACGGCCCAGACUCCUACGGGAGGCAGCAGUGGGGAAUUUUGGACAAUGGGCGAAAGCCUGAUCCAGCAAUGCCGCGUGUGUGAAGAAGGCCUUCGGGUUGUAAAGCACUUUUGUCCGGAAAGAAAUCCUUGGCUCUAAUACAGUCGGGGGAUGACGGUACCGGAAGAAUAAGCACCGGCUAACUACGUG